GACGAACGCUGGCGGCGUGCCUAAUACAUGCAAGUCGAGCGGGCCUCCGGAGGUGCUUGCACCUCCGGACGGCCAGCGGCGGACGGGUGAGUAACACGUGGGCAACCUGCCUUUGAGGCCGGGAUAACACCGGGAAACCGGUGCUAAUACCGGAUACGUCCUCUUUCGCGCCUGCGAGAGGGGAGAAAGACGGUCUUUAAGGCCGUCGCUCAAAGAGGGGCCCGCGGCGCAUUAGCUGGUUGGUGGGGCAAGGGCCUACCAAGGCGACGAUGGGUUGCUGACCGGGGAGGGGGAUCGGCCACACUGGGACUGAGACACGGCCCAGACUCCUGCGGGAGGAGGCAGUAGGGAAUCAUCCGCAAUGGGCGGAAGCCUGACGGUGCAACGCCGCGUGAGUUAGGAAGGUUUUCGGUUCGUAAAGCUCUGUUGUGAGGGAAGAACAGCAUCCGGAGGAAAUGCCGGAGGUUUGCCGGUACCUCACCAGAAAGCCCCGGCUAACUACGUGCCAGCCGCCGCCGCAGUAA
rnacentral:rRNA from 1 species